AAAGAUUAAGCCAUGCAUGUCUAAGUAUAAGCAAUUAUACAGCGAAACUGCGAAUGGCUCAUUAUAUAAGUUAUCGUUUAUUUGAUAAUACCUUACUACUUGGAUAACCGUGGUAAUUCUAGAGCUAAUACAUGCUGAAAAUCCCGACUUCGGAAGGGAUGUGUUUAUUAGAUAAAAAACCAACGCCCUUCGGGGCUCCUUGGUGAAUCAUAAUAACUUAACGAAUCGCAUGGCCUUGCGCCGGCGAUGGUUCAUUCAAAUUUCUGCCCUAUCAACUUUCGAUGGUAGGAUAGUGGCCUACCAUGGUGG
rnacentral:rRNA from 2 species